AUAAUAAGGUUUUUAAUGGCAUAGUGAUGGAGCCUUUGGAGAUUGUGGAUGAAGUGAAAGUUAUUUCUUGGAAAUGGAGCGUGGAUAGAUUGAAAAUUUCUCCAUGUCUCUUUUACGAAUGGACUUGGGAGCCCGGAAUUUGCUUUAAUAGAUGAUGGCCAUUGGCCUUGUUUUUAGAGUGUUGGGGUAUUUAUUGUUCUUUGUUGUAGUUUUUGUGUCUGCUAUGUUUUGUUUUAGUAGGAGUUUUUUUCCUUUCCUUUGGUUAAAGGGGUUAGCCGAAUAUGCUCUUUGUAGUGCUAGGCUUUGCUCCAUUAUUGUAUUUUUGCUCUACUUUCCCUUGUCUUGGCUCUUCUUGUGCCUUGAUUUGUGGUUUAAUAAACUUUU
rnacentral:lncRNA from 1 species